GACAGAGGGUGCAAACGUUGUUCGGAAUUACUGGGCGUAAAGUGUGCGCAGGCGGCCAUGCAAGUCGAGUGUGAAAGCCCCGGGCUUAACUUGGGAAUUGCGCUCGAAACUACGUGGCUGGAGUGUGGCAGAGGAAGGUGGAAUUCCACGUGUAGCGGUGAAAUGCGUAGAGAUGUGGAGGAACACCGAUGGCGAAGGCAGCCCCCUGGGUCAAGAUUGACGCUCAUGCACGAAAGCGUGGGGAGCAAACAGG
rnacentral:rRNA from 1 species